rnacentral:rRNA from 1 species
UACGGAGGGGGCGAGCGUUGUUCGGAAUUACUGGGCGUAAAGCGUGCGCAGGCGGUUUUGUAAGGCAGGUGUGAAAGCCCCGGGCUUAACCUGGGAAUGGCAUUUGGGACUGCAAGGCUUGAGUGCGGCAGAGGAGACUGGAAUUCCUGGUGUAGCAGUGAAAUGCGUAGAUAUCAGGAGGAAUACCGAUGGCGAAGGCAGGUCUCUGGGCUGACACUGACGCUCAUGCACGAAAGCGUGGGGAGCAAACAGG